rnacentral:tRNA from 8 species
GGGCUUGUAGCUCAGUGGACCAGAGCGUUCGGCUACGAACCGAAAAGUCGAUUGGGUUCGAAUCCCUCCAGGCCCG